rnacentral:rRNA from 1 species
AGCUCCAAUAGCGUAUAUUAAAGUUGUUGCAGUUAAAAAGCUCGUAGUUGGAUUUCUGUUUUGGAUGUCCGGUCCGCUUCCUCUGGGAGUGUGUACUUAUGGAUGUUCGAGGCAUUUUUUGUGAGGCUGCCUCUCUGCCAUUAAGUUGGUGGGUUGGUGGGCUUGCAUCGUUUACUGUGAAAAAAUUAGAGUGUUUAAAGCAGGCGUUAGCUCAUUUGAAUACAUUAGCAUGGAAUAAUAAGAUACGGCUUUGGUGGUCUAUUUUGUUGGUUUGCACACCAGAGUAAUGAUUAAUAGGGACAGUUGGGGGUAUUCAUAUUUCAGCGUCAGAGGUGAAAUUCUUGGAUCGCUGAAAGAUGAGCUUAGGCGAAAGCAUUUACCAAGGAUGUUUUCA